rnacentral:lncRNA from 1 species
CGUUACGAUGACCGAAGACAGCAGUAAAUGUGGUCUACAGACUACCUGAAAACGGCUGCCGUGGUUGCGGAAUCGCAUCUUGACGUCACUGAGCCUGCGGAAGUGUUUACUUGUUUCUGGCGUCGACAUCGUGUCUGGACACACGGAGUGCAGCGGCGGCGUUGAAAGGACGUUCGCCUAAUCAGCUCCUUUUUUGCCUACCCAGGUUGGUAAAUUCGCUUAUUUUCUUAACACCGCCUUACCGCAGCGGCCGUUGCCACCGUGUCUCAGUGAUUUGCUGAGUGCUCUGUGCUAAAUGUGCAUUUUUCCGAACUGAAUGCUGCCUAUUGUGUGCGAACUGAGUGCUACUGUGAAUCCCUGGACCACGUACCAUGGCAGGCACAUGCCAGUCUUGUGAUGAACCCCUCCCUUGUGAUGGACGCGUCCGGAGGUGCAACGAAUGGAUUUCAUCUCGCCGUCAACCCUCACUGGCAUGAGACGCCGUCAUCUCGCC